rnacentral:tRNA from 1 species
GAUCCUAUAGCUCAAUGGUUAGAGCGCGUUCUGUCCGGUUAUCAGAAGGUUACGUAGUUCGAUUCCCGUUAGGGCUCA